GGUUUCGUGGUGUAGUUGGUUAUCACGUCAGUCUAACAGAACUUACAAAAAAGAGGUCUGUGAUCACUGAAGGUCUCCGGUUCAAGUCCGGGCGAAAUCA